rnacentral:misc_RNA from 1 species
GAUGAAGAACGCAGCGAAAUGCGAUAAGUAAUGUGAAUUGCAGAAUUCAGUGAAUCAUCGAAUCUUUGAACGCACAUUGCGCCCGCUAGUAUUCUGGCGGGCAUGCCUGUCCGAGCGUCAUUUCAACCCUCAAGCCCCCGGGCUUGGUGUUGGGGAUCGGCGAGCCUCCGCGCCCGCCGUCCCCUAAAUCUAGUGGCGGUCUCGCUGUAGCUUCCUCUGCGUAGUAGCACACCUCGCACUGGGAAACAGCGCGGCCACGCCGUUAAACCCCCCACUUCUGAACGUUUGACCUCGGAUCAGGUAGGAAUACCCGAUGAACUUAAGCAUAUCAAUAAGCGGAGGA